GAUGAACGCUGGCGGCAUGCCUAAUACAUGCAAGUCGAACGAGCUCUUCGGAGCUAGUGGCGGACGGGUGAGUAACACGUUGGUACCUACCCCGAAGUGGGGAAUAACUGCCCGAAAGGGUGGCUAAUACCGCAUAAUACCGUAAGGUUAAAGCAGUAAUGCGCUUCGGGAGGGGCCUGCGUCCCAUUAGCUAGUUGGCGGGGUAAAUGCCCACCAAGGCGACGAUGGGUAGCUGGAUCGAGAGGUUGACCAGCCACACUGGGACUGAGAUACGGACCAGACUCCUACGGGAGGCAGCAGUAAGGAAUCUUCCACAAUGGACGAAAGUCUGAUGGAGCAAUGCCGCGUGCAGGAUGACGGCCUUCGGGUUGUAAACUGCUUUUAUAUGGGAAGAUUAUGACGGUACCAUAUGAAUAAGUCACGGCUAACUUCGUGCCAGCCGCCGCUGUAA
rnacentral:rRNA from 1 species